rnacentral:lncRNA from 1 species
UGUGCACUCAGUGUAUAUCUGUACUAUACAGCUGCUUAUGGCUAUUUCUGAGAAGAGGAAACCCCUAAACUAAUUAUUGUGGUCAGGUCAGGACAGCAUACUUAAUAACAUGUUGCUUAGCAGAGAGGAACUGGACAGGACAUGCGAUUAUAAAGGCCAGCCAUGGAGGACAGGAGACUUCCCCCUACAGUGCCCUUAGUGGUCAAAACUGAGCCAGACACAGAGACCCGUAGGGUGAGAGAGGAGGAACAGCCUACCAUUCCCAUCAGGGUUAAAAAAGAGGACCUCUCUGAAGUGCCCCUCAAAGUGCCCAGAUUCAAGUACGUGGACUUCCCUUCGCUACACCAGUGCAUCCAGCAGCUCACUGUGCCACCCCUGGACAGCUGGCUGGAAGGCUUUCCCCUGGCUCUGGGAAGACCCUCUGGAGGACACACCCCUGUCACUUCCAAGGAGAGAGUUCCCAAGUUUCGGUAUGUAGAUUAUCCCUCCCUGCACCACUGCAUCCAGCAGCUGUCUGUGCCGCCUCUGGAGAGCUGGAGCUCGGGGUUGGCCAGGUCAGGGUGUGGGGUGACAGGUGGACCUGGAUCCACCAACCCUCAGCCCAGCUCUGUGAGGGAGAAUCAGACAAUACAGGGAGAUGGUUCAGCAUCGGCUCACAAACAGGACAAGUAUACUGCUUUCCCCUUUCCUGGUCCUGACUCCGGCUCCAUCCAGUGUGUGACCUCCUCAAACAAGGCAUCCCAUAAGCCUCAGCGGCUUCAGCUGCGCUUGAGCAGUCCAACCGGAACCAGGCCCGCAUUAAGCUCACAGGGGGAAGAGGCUCGCCAUAAGGUGGUGUGUUCAGAUCAGCUGUCUCAAAAGUUCUCUAAUCCCAAAUCUUGGGUUGCUGGAAUGAAGCGUGUCAGAGGAGCGGGCCCACUCCAUCAGAGCAAUAGGAAGUCAGCUGGUGAUGAUGAAUGGCAUGCAGACCUAAAGAAAACUCCACAAAGUCAUCAAGAGGCCCAAGUAAAGCUAAGUGACUCUCCUGACCUAGGACAAGGGUUUUGGAGAACCAUCCCAGAGUCUGUCUGCCCCUUUUGCCAAAAGAUGUUUUCAGAUCCAGAGGAAUUGCGGAUCCACCAGAAGAGUCACAGAGAAAAGAAGCCUCAUUGAUGUCUUGACCAAGGAAAUGUACAGCUGACAACAAUGAACAUCUUAAAAACUGUGCAUCUACUUCAGUACUUGCUACACAGGCGUGGACUAGGGCUGGCUUCUCCACAAAUGAUUGGUCACCUGAUAAGAUUUCCACUGAGGUUGUUUUGAGUGUUCAGUGUUAAUCUUGAUGACCUAAGUGACUGACUAUAAACAAACCACUUUAGCUAAGGGCUUCAUUCAUAAUUCAGUCUAGGAAUUAAGCUCUCAAUGUGAAAAACUGACCUGCAGUGGCUCUUGGUGGUCUUACAACUCCUUAUUUACCUAUGGGUUAAUUUGCCAGGAGGUGGUACACAUUAGAUGAGAUAGAACAAGGAAAUGAGCCAUUUGAUGUUGUUUAAAUUAAAAUGUCAGGAAUUAGAUUGAAAUGCAAUGCAGUGCAUACAUUUUUGUAUUACUGUAGUUGAGAAUUAGACUUUCAUUUAUUUUCCUUAAAAGGGAUGCCAAUGUUUUCCUGUUUACAAGCUGUUCUUGGCAGAAACAUUAAUAAGUGGGGGUAUCAGCACCUUGUUCACUGGAGAUGGCUGCCUGUUCCAAUAUUUCAACAUAAUUAUCUAGAUUUGGGUGCCUAUAAAACCUUUAACUUUUGGCUUAUGCUGCGAAACAACACAUGCUUCUUUAUAAUUUCUUAUCUAAUGUUUUUAUGCUUUGUAUUUUAAUGUUUCUUUUUUACCAUGACAAUUAUAUGUAUAUUAUUGAUUGUAUUGUCUAGAAAUAACUUUAAACUUUUCUUAAACUUUGUUUUAAAUUCUGUGUGCAUUAAAGAUUUUCUAGUAAAG